UGUCUCUCUGGGUAAAGAUUAAAAUGUGAAAAACAGUAAUUUAUGUUCCCUAAGCAGGUAACAGAUGAGACUCCGCAGUGCUGCAUACAGAUUGAGUAGGGAUUAGGGGCCAGCUUUGGGGUCCUGGGCAGAGAUUAUUUUUCUUCUGGCCAUGGCCACCUCCCUGGCUCUUGGCAGAGUGUUUGAUGGUAAUGGUCAUUGAUUACUUUUCUGGGUGGUUUAGUGCCCCAUCUUUCCACUCUUGAACUUUGUUUCUGCAAUUUGCAGGAAACUUUACCAAAUAGCUGCUAUUGUGAGCCUGAAAGCCACUAGUAAAACAGCUUGCCGUUUUUAUGUAUAAACACCUCCAUUAUGUCUACUGCGCUUGGAGGACUGGAUGGAGGGCUGGUUAAGUGGAUCAUAAAGAGCUCUGGAGAGCUCCAUUGGCCUUCGGCUCCAGUUAGGCCUACAGUGACCCAGUGCACCCAGGGGUGCUGGCUGGGGCUGCCCUGCCCUGGUGGGAAUGGCCACCAGCUCAGCCUGCUCCAGGACCCAGGAGUCAUCGGACUUCUACCCAUGGCUCAGAGAGCCCUUGAGUCAGACCUACACUGCCCUAGGCACCCUCUUCCUCCAUUUCCUGGAUCUCUCACCAGUGACCACACCACCCAGAAGCUUUGGGGAGGGGACACUAAAGAGCUGCUAUUCCACCUCCUGCCUGGCUCUGCAAGAGCUUGAUUGCCACCACCUCCUCCCCACCUUGCAGGGCUCAAGUGUACCCGAGGUGCCCUCAGCUCUGUGUACAGCUGGCUGUGGGGGAUGCUGGUUCUCAUUGCUCUCUUUUAUGGUUCUGAUGUGAUUUUCCCCAAGGGUUCAUGUGUUGGGAGCUUGGUCCACAGCGUAGUGAUGUGAGAGGUGGUGGGACCUUUAAGAGGUGGGGGUUAGUGGGGGCUCAGUCUUUGGGUCUUUGGGGGUCCUGCUGUCAGGAUUAAGGUUGAUCUUGUAAGUCCUGAGUUAGUUUUGAGAGAGGGUUGUGAUAAAAACAGCAAGCCUAGCCCUACCCAGCUCUCCAGGAUUCUGUCUGAUAGUGUGGUCUCUUGUUCUUCUGCCUUGAUGCUAUCCACUGUUAGGCCCUCUCCAGAGACCCAUCCAAUGGGCUGCCUAACUGAAUUUUCAGCCUCCAAAACUGAGCUAAACAAACUUGUUUUCUUUAUAAAGUAGACUACCUUGGGUAUUUUGUUACAGUAACAAAGAACAAACUCAUACACCUGCCCAGCCCUUCUGACCUCCCUCCUGCAUCAGUGUGGGGAUGAAGGCCUAUGUGUAUGUGGGGUCAGCAGCAUGGACAUUGGCGUCCACAUGGCUCUGGCUUGGGGAUGGGGGUCUUUUUUCAGAGUCUUACCCUAAAAGGAGUUCUGAGCAAUGAGCCUCCACCUUUCUCCCUUCAUACCCCAGAAGUAUGAGGUUAAAGUGACCUUGCCCUGCUACUGUGGCAUCCUGGAGGGGACAUGUAACAAAUGUCCUCAGAGUCCUACCUGUGUCAGGCCAGGGCAGACACAGAAGGGCCUGUGGCAAAAAAAGCCCCAGUUUUUGCCUCCACCAGGUCUGCUGCAGAGGGGUCUGUGUGGUCUGGAACUCCCAGGGUCUCAGCCCCCUUGAGGAGAUGGCAAGAGUAUUGUGGGGCCACCCCAGCGCCUCAGAUUGGCACUGCCCCAGAAACCUGUUCUCAGCUGAGUUGACUCAUAGUGACCCAUUGCCGAUGCCACAAAUAAAAGUAACCAAGAGAUUGGAACAAGAAUAGCUUGUCACAGCCAUCUGCUGCAUGCUGGCAGCCUCAUGCCCUGAGCUGCAGGGGUUCCGGCUCUGGAGUGGCUCCUGAGCUGCCUCCCUCCAUAGUGUCCCCAAGCCCAACCCUGCUACAGUCUGUGGGCAGGGCCAUGUGGGCUGUGGGUCUGGGGCCUGGCCAAUCGCUCCCCCAUACCCUGUCCAAGAAAUGGAGGUCUUUUUUAUUCCUUCUACAGGGAAAUUUCAGAAGUAGAAUAGGAUCAAUUUAUUUGUUUUGUUUUGUUUUUUAAUUUGUUUAGCUUUGCUUUGCUGGAGUGUUUUAAAGCUGAAUCUCAGACAUCAUUAUGUCAUUUUACUUAUAAAUACUUCAGAAGGUGUCUCAAUUGAUGAGGGUGUUUUUCCCUUGGUAUAAUCACCCUGCCAUUAUCACAUCUAACCAAAUUAACAAUACAGUUGACUCUCAUAUCUGUGUGUUCUGUAUCACAUAUUCAACCAAGCAAGUGUUGGAAAUAUUUGUAGAAAAACAAUUACACCUGUCUGAACAUGUACAGGCUUUGUUUCUUGUCAUCACUCUCUAAACCAUACAGUAUAACAGCUAUUUACUUCGUACGAGGUAUUGUAAGUAACUAAGGGAUGAUUUGAAGUAUGUGGGAGGAUGCAAAUAGUUUAUUGGCAAAUAAUGUGCUAUUUUAUACAAGGGAGUUCAGCAUCCAAGGAUUUUGGUCUCUGCAGGAGGUCCUGAAACUAAUUCCCCUUUGAACUGAGGGAUGACUGUAAUUCCUUUAUAUCACCAAUAUUUUUAGUCUGUAUUGGCCAAAAACUAUCCUUUAGGAGUAGGAUUGUUCAAGCUAGGAUUCAAACAAGAGGAGAGAUGGGUUUUGUGUGUGUGUGUGUGUGGAGGGGUGGUACCAGGGAUUGAACUUGGGACCUUGCGCUUGUGACGCAGGUGGCGGAACCACUGAGCUAAAUCCCCGGCCUUCUACAUGUUGCACGUGGCUGUUGUUGGAAAGGGAGUCCUUGUUGCACUGAACUCUGGGGAGAGCUUCCCUUUGUCCUCCCACAGCUCCUUUCCCUGCGCCCCCAGGUUGGCCUCCCUGGCAGCUGCCUUUUCUGUGGACCAGUGCCCUGAAGCUGGAGACUGCAGCCAGGAGAGCACCUGGGAGGCCUGAAGAUAGUGCGCUGAUAUGACCAUUUGGAGUUUCCCUCAAUUACAGCCGAAGCCUCUGGACAUCCCGCCUGCUCCAGCUCAAGCAGGCUGAGUGCCCACCACCCAUCACCAUCCUGGACGGUCAGGCUCCUGUGGGCCCUUCAGGCCAGCCUGUUGCCUUCCCACCUCCCCUUGCGGGUUUGUUGGGUCACAAACAUUUACUGGGUAAUGACAGAUGCCAGGCCCUCUCCUAGGAGCUGGGGAGACAAAACCAAGGAAGAUUUAUCUGUAAAGCUCUAGAUGGGGAGCAAACCAAAUAAGUAAAGUGCAUAGUGUAUUUGAUGGUGACAAAUACAGUGGAAAAAAAUAAAGAUGGGUAUGAUACCAAGGGGAGCAUUGGGAGUUAUUUGCAGCUUUUCAUCACUAUUAUAAAUACCUUAAAUAAAGAGAAAACUUAAGGUUCUGGUCCAUAA